GAUGAACGCCGGCGGUGUGCCUAAUACAUGCAAGUCGUACGCACUGGCCCAACUGAUUGAUGGUGCUUGCACCUGAUUGACGAUGGAUCACCAGUGAGUGGCGGACGGGUGAGUAACACGUAGGUAACCUGCCCCGGGAGCGGGGGAUAACAUUUGGAAACAGAUGCUAAUACCGCAUAACAACAAAGCCACAUGGCUUUUGUUUGAAAGAUGGCUUUGGCUAUCACUCUGGGAUGGACCUGCGGUGCAUUAGCUAGUUGGUAAGGUAACGGCUUACCAAGGCGAUGAUGCAUAGCCGGAGUUGAGAGACUGAUCGGCCACAAU
rnacentral:rRNA from 1 species